rnacentral:rRNA from 1 species
AAUGAACGCUGGCGGCAUGCCUUACACAUGCGAGUCGAACGGCAGCAUGACCUAGCUUGCUAGGUUGAUGGCGAGUGGCGAACGGGUGAGUAAUGCAUCGGAACGUGCCUUUUAGUGGGGGAUAACGUAGCGAAAGUUACGCUAAUACCGCAUAUUCUCUGAGGAGGAAAGCAGGGGACCUUCGGGCCUUGCGCUAGAAGAGCGGCCGAUGUCGGAUUAGCUAGUUGGUGAGGUAAAGGCUCACCAAGGCAACGAUCCGUAGCGGGUCUGAGAGGAUGAUCCGCCACACUGGGACUGAGACACGGCCCAGACUCCUACGGGAGGCAGCAGUGGGGAAUUUUGGACAAUGGGCGCAAGCCUGAUCCAGCCAUGCCGCGUGAGUGAAGAAGGCCUUCGGGUUGUAAAGCUCUUUCGGCUGGGAAGAAAUCGCACCCUCUAAUACAGGGUGUUGAUGACGGUACCAGCAUAAGAAGCACCGGCUAACUACGUG